rnacentral:rRNA from 1 species
UACGAAGGGGGCUAGCGUUGCUCGGAAUCACUGGGCGUAAAGGGUGCGUAGGCGGGUCUUUAAGUCAGGGGUGAAAUCCUGGAGCUCAACUCCAGAACUGCCUUUGAUACUGAGGAUCUUGAGUAUGGGAGAGGUGAGUGGAACUGCGAGUGUAGAGGUGAAAUUCGUAGAUAUUCGCAAGAACACCAGUGGCGAAGGCGGCUCACUGGCCCAUUCUGACGCUGAGGCACGAAAGCGUGG